rnacentral:rRNA from 1 species
UCGCGGCCUCCGGGGGCUCCCCCCGGGCGGUAGAGGUAACACUCUUACGCGCCACAUGUCUGAAUCCUUUUUUUACGAGCACCUUUCGUUCUCCUUCGGUGGGGCAACCUGCCGUUGGAACUUAUCAAAACCUUUUUUUGCAUCUAGCAUUACCUGUUCAGAUACAAUCAAUCGUUACAACUUUCAACAAUGGAUCUCUUGGCUCUGGCAUCGAUGAAGAACGCAGCGAAAUGCGAUAAGUAGUGUGAAUUGCAGAAUUCAGUGAAUCAUCGAAUCUUUGAACGCACAUUGCGCCCCUUGGUAUUCCAUGGGGCAUGCCUGUUCGAGCGUCAUCUACACCCUCAAGCUCUGCUUGGUGUUGGGCGUCUGUCCCGCCUCUGCGCGUGGACUCGCCCCAAAUUCAUUGGCAGCGGUCUUUGCCUCCUCUCGCGCAGCACAUUGCGCUUUAGAGGGGUGUGGGCCGCGUCCACGAAGCAACAUUAUCGUCUUUGACCUCGGAUCAGGUAGGGAUACCCGCUGAACUUAAGCAUAUCAAUAGCCGGGAGGAAGA